AUGGACUGGCUUCGUAGGUGCCGAGGUCUUCGCACAGGCCAAGGCCAGGGGGAUCUUUUCACUGACUUCCUGUGUCCCCACUACCCCCUCCCACAUCCUGUCUGGAUAACUUGGAGCAAGACACCUGACUUUGUCAUUCCUUCCAUGGUCACAUGCUUCUGUGAGCAGGCCGUGCUGGGGCCUCAGGCCAGGUGCCUGGACCGCCCAGCCAGCCCCAGUUUACACACAAGCCGCAUUUCCAGCUAUGACUACCGAAUGAUUUCAUCAACCCAUUUUGGAGUCUUUCUUUUUGUAUUUCAGUAUAACAAUCUUAAUCUUCCCUGCGGGCAGUGAACAAGACUCUUGGGGGAGAGAUGGAGAACAAGGAAAUGCAAAUGAGAAAAGCAUCCUGAUGACAGUUUAAGGAUGACUGUGCCAUACCCUUAAGGACGCUGUGGAGGAUGAAGCUUCUGGAGCAGGUGAGAAGUAAGAAGCAAGCAGAAGUCUUGCCCCCAAAGGUCUUGCUCCACAGAGCCGGAGGGGCACUCUGUGUAGGAUUCCAGGCUUCACUCUUGGAUCUGUGUCAUGUUGAAACAUGGGACCUUUUUCAGCACCAGGUCCCAGGGAUAAGGCUCCUCUAGUAGCCAUUCACACUUUUUUCACAGCACCAUCAUCCUUAGCAUUAAAAAAAAUUAUGUAUUUAUUUUGGCUGUGCUGGGUCUUUGCUGCUGCAUGGGCUUCUCUCUAGCUGUGGUGCACAGGCUUCUUAUGGCGAGGCCUCUCUUGUUGUGGAGCACAGGCUGCAAGGCACGUGGGCUUCAGCAGUUGUGCCUCCCAGCUUUGAGAGCACAGGCUCAAUAAUUGUGCAGGGAUUUAGUUUUGGGACUCUUCUCAGACCGAGGAUCAAACUGUCUCCCUGGUUUGGCAGGUGGAUUCUUUGCCACUGAGCUUCCAGGGAAGCCCCAUCCUUAGCAUUGUUUUUCCGUUGACUUUGAUCUCAGAGAUUCAUGGAAGGAUCAAUUAACUGUGAAAUUCAUCUUGAUUCUGAAUAGAGUCUUAUAAAUAGUUUCUAUCCUGAUGUGACUUUUCCAAUAGUUUUGUAAAAUCAACAGGGAAUAGAUUAUUUGUUUCCAUUACAGAGAAAGAAGAAUCAAUCUUGAACUUUUCUUUUUCAUUACAAUAAAUGUUUAUUGAACCCUUACUGUAAACA
rnacentral:lncRNA from 1 species